rnacentral:rRNA from 1 species
UACGUAGGGUGCGAGCGUUGUCCGGAAUUACUGGGCGUAAAGAGCUCGUAGGUGGUUUGUCGCGUUGUUCGUGAAAACUCACAGCUCAACUGUGGGCGUGCGGGCGAUACGGGCAGACUGGAGUACUGCAGGGGAGACUGGAAUUCCUGGUGUAGCGGUGGAAUGCGCAGAUAUCAGGAGGAACACCGGUGGCGAAGGCGGGUCUCUGGGCCAUAACUGACGCUGAGAAGCGAAAGCAUGGGGAGCGAACAGG